rnacentral:lncRNA from 1 species
GACCUCAUGACUACAUAGGUACCGGAGCAAAAUAGGGCUUUCGAUGGAAAAUCAAUGUGGCUUGGCAGCUGGUAAAAUUCUUCUACAGGAAAGUGUAGAGCUGUGUUAAGGACUUGGUCAAUCCAUCACCAGCAGCACAAUUUCCAAUUCAUUGAAGAAUUUUGAAGAAAAUAAAAAUAUGAAGCAGCAGAGUCAUGGCAAGGCGAAGCAACGUAACCUUUAAAUAGCAGGAUUUUUCCACCUCUCUGACACAUCAGACAUUGGCUCCUUGCAGAAGUAGGAGAAAGAGCUUGACAGACCUGUAGUCUGAUCUUUUAUGGCAGAUCCUAAGGGCAGGGGGGACUGACACGCUUGUUAGCAUUUGACCCAGUUUAAACUAACAGAUUUUUGAAAAACAAAGACUCACUGUGAGAUUAAGCAGAGGGAAAGCUGAAACAACUUGAUACUGCAGAAAAUACUCACUACAACUGAAGAAACAACUAUCUAGGGAAGAACAAACCCGCCAAGCCAAAAAAUCUUCCUCUGCUGUGUCACACAGCUAAAAAUCCAGCUGGUAAUCGGACAAGGCUAUUGCCACAGGAGAGCAGAGUAAAUUGAAAAGGUCCCAUGGCAGAUCUGGUCUACAGGAUAAGGUUGGGUUUUUUGUGCUUUUCUCAAUCCCACCAUAUCCCUGUUCCCAGGAGAGUUCCCAGGGGGAAGAAGUAGGAAGCUCCCACUGCUCUGACACUGCUUUGAAUCCUGCUGUCCAAGGGACAAACCUAAUAAACCCUGCUAUUACUGUUAGUUUGCUUUGAAUGGGGGACACCCGUCACCUCUUGUGGAGCUUUAAUGCGCUUUGAUGGUGAAAGGAGAAAAUACUCAUAAUCCUGCUCUGAUGCUACCUCUGAUCAUCCCAGAUGUGCCUCCCAGCACAAUCCUACCAUGCACUGCUGUUUUCCAGGCCAAAGAAAUGCUUUUCCACAGCAUUUGGUUGGCCAGUGAAUAUGCGCAGCAGCUUAUGCUGCUUUGGAGCCUCAUGUUCAUUAUCCUCUCACUCUGCAAGAAAUUCCAUAUCUCCUUCAUGGACCCACCUGCAGCUGCUGUGAAAUUUCAACGCUCAGCUGUUUGCCUGAGAAGGUUUCCUGUCCUUGCCCAGUAAUGAUGGACCAGUGCUACAGGACCAGCUCUGGUGCCCAGAGCUCUCUCCUAUUUGAGCAUGGAGCUUGCAAUGGAAGCGCCUCCAAAAUGCACUGUAUCAGAACAGGUUGAGGUGCCUGCAAGCCCACAAUGCAAAGACAUGGUGGCUCUCUUGCCUUUUUUUUUUUUUUUUUCACCUGUUUUUCAUGGAUUAAUAAAGCAGUCCUCAAUGUCA